rnacentral:rRNA from 1 species
AGACGUAGGAUGCAAGCGUUAUCCGGAAUCAUUGGGCGUAAAGAGUCCGUAGGUGGUAUGUUAAGUUGGAUGUUAAAUUUUUGAGCUCAACUCAAAAAAUGUGUCCAAAACUGGCAAACUGGAGACAGGUAGAGGCAAGUGGAAUUCUGCAUGUAGGGGUAAUAUCCGUAGAUAUGCAGAGGAACACCAAAAGCGAAGGCAGCUUGCUGGACCUGUUCUGACACUAAAGGACGAAAGCGUGGGGAGCAAACGGGAUUAGAAACCCCAGUAGUCC